rnacentral:misc_RNA from 1 species
GUGUGUCUCAAGUUUCUGUUGCCUCGUGAAGGCCGAAGAAAUUCAAAUUUGGAAGAAAUUCCAAUUUGAUUUAUGAUUGCUUUGAUACAAGUCGUGGGUACUGAGUGGUGGGCUCAGGGCUGAUAUUCGGCUUUUUUCAUGGUUUUUGAGUGGUCGCAUUUCACACCCACCUUUUGGCUAGAGCGAGCCUGCUACAGUACUCAGGUGCAUUAUAGUCUUGAGCUGAAGUGAAAGUCAAGAACAAAUUCAGCAACAACUUGAAAUCGGAAUUUACUAUCAAUGCUCUAGCACACUCUUCGCCCUUGAGAAGUGAAUAGGGCCUUUGAACUCUGUUGAAAGGACAUACCUUCACUCAGCAUGAGUUGGCCGAUUCUGGGUGGCGCUGCCAGCGCCGCCUGCCGGCUGGGCAGUGCUGCCCUCCCGCGGCGGGCGGUGGCAACUAGCGCGCCGCUGCAGCGCCGUUUCCCGCGCGCCAAGCUGCCGCUGAACACGGAGCGGCUGAACGGCACUGAGCGGGUGUCCGUGCUCGUGCCCCGGCUGCCCGACCUCUCCCGAGGGGUGCCGCAGGACGACGGCGGUAUCCGCUACCACGGCUUCACAUACUACCCGCGGU